rnacentral:rRNA from 1 species
CGAAAGCCUGACGGAGCAAGACCGCGUGCGGGAGGAAGGUCUAUUGACUGUAAACCGCUUUUGAUAGGGAAGAAGAUCUGACGGUACCUAUCGAAUCAGCAUCGGCUAACUCCGUGCCAGCAGCCGCGGUAAUACGGGGGAUGCAAGCGUUAUCCGGAAUUAUUGGGCGUAAAGCGUCCGUAGGUGGUUUUAUAAGUCUGUUGUCAAAGCGCGAGGCUUAACCUCGUACAGGCAGUGGAAACUAUAAGACUAGAGUGCGGUAGGGGUAGAGGGAAUUUCCAGUGUAGCGGUGAAAUGCGUAGAUAUUGGAAAGAACACCGGUGGCGAAGGCGCUCUACUGGGCCUGCACUGACACUGAGGGACGAAAGCUAGGGGAGCG